GACGAACGCUGGCGGCGUGCUUAACACAUGCAAGUCGAACGGUGAAGCGCCUUCCUUUUUGGUGGGUGUGGAUGAGUGGCGAACGGGUGAGUAACACGUGAGUAACCUGCCCCCUUCUUCUGGAUAACCGCAUGAAAGUGUGGCUAAUACGGGAUAUUCUGGGUCUGUCGCAUGAUGGGUCUGGGAAAGAUAUUGUUUCGGUGGGGGAUGGGCUCGCGGCCUAUCUGCUUGUUGGUGGGGUGAUGGCCUACCAAGGCGGUGACGGGUAGCCGGCCUGAGAGGGUGGACGGUCACACUGGGACUGAGACACGGCCCAGACUCCUACGGGAGGCAGCAGUGGGGAAUAUUGCACAAUGGGCGCAAGCCUGAUGCAGCGACGCCGCGUGAGGGAUGGAGGCCUUCGGGUUGUGAACCUCUUUCGCCAGUGAAGCAGGCCUGCCUCGUUUGUGGGUGGGUUGACGGUAGCUGGAUAAGAAGCGCCGGCUAACUACGUG
rnacentral:rRNA from 1 species